rnacentral:rRNA from 1 species
UUCGGCAAGGGGGUCAUCCCGACUUACCAACCCGAUGCAAACUGCGAAUACCGGAGAAUGUUAUCACGGGAGACACACGGCGGGUGCUAACGUCCGUCGUGAAGAGGGAAACAACCCAGACCGCCAGUUAAGGUCCCAAAGUCAUGGUUAAGUGGGAAACGAUGUGGGAAGGCCCAGACAGCCAGGAUGUUGGCUUAGAAGCAGCCAUCAUUUAAAGAAAGCGUAAUAGCUCACUGGUCGAGUCGGCCUGCGCGGAAGAUGUAACGGGGC